UAUGCUUAGGGCUACACACGUGCUACAAUGGGUAGUACAGAGGGUUGCCAAGCCGUAAGGUGGAGCUAAUCCCUUAAAGCUCCUCUCAGUUCGGGUUGGAGGCUGAAACUCGCCUACAUGAAGCUGGGGUUACUAGUAAUCGCAGAUCAGAAUGCUGCGGUGAAUGCGUUCCCGGGUCUUGUACACACCGGCCGUCACACCACUGGAGUUGGGGACGCCCGAGGCCGGUUAUCUAACCUUUUGGAAGAGGUCGUC
rnacentral:rRNA from 1 species